UCUCCGUAGGUGAACCUGCGGAGGGAUCAUUACAGAGUUCUCGCCCUCGCGGGUAGAUCUCCCACCCACUGUUAUCGUUACUGUGUUGCUUUGGCGGGCCGCCGGGCCCCGCUCGGCCGCCGGCUCCGGCUGGCGCGCGCCCGCCAGAGGCCCAGCAAACUCUUAAUGUUAGUGUCGUCUGAGUACUAUAUAAUAGUUAAAACUUUCAACAACGGAUCUCUUGGUUCUG
rnacentral:misc_RNA from 1 species